UGAAGUUAAAAUUGACAGAUGCAUCUAAUACAAGAAAAGCAGUAUCAUUGGGGAGCGAAUGAAGAAUACCACAAUGUAAUGUAUCCACAAAUUCAUCAUAAUGACGUUGAAAAUUCAAACACUCUUAGAGAUUUGAAGAGAUUUGCUUAUAGGAAAAUAUCUAAACACAGUCUAAAAUAUUAAAGUUGUACAUUUAUUUUAUUAAUCAAAAAAUAAUGCUUCAUAUUCUAACCGUUCCCACUGGGUUGAGGAAAACAAAGUUAUCACAUGCUUCUCUUUAUUUUACAGGGCAAAGAUUCUGCAGCAGCAUAAUUGUUUAAAAAUAACAUUAAACAACAAAGUUGAUUAUAACUAAUGUUGGACAAUCUUAGCAGAUUAUACCUUCUAGAUAAUUCUAGGUCAUGCUUACAAGGAGAAUUGUGAGAUCAUCAAUUUGCUGUAUGAGGAAAAUAGCAAGAAACUUAUGACUAUCUAAUGCAAUAUAUCAGAUUAUCUGAAUAUAGACAAAAGUAAUUUUAUGAUGCAAACUCCUGAGUUCUAUACUCAUGCUAGGUAACAGAGAAUUUGAAUAAAUUAUUAAGCUUGGGAUAGUGCUCAUUUGUAGACAACAUACCAUUUUGCCACUGAAAUGUACAUUUGAUUAUGGAAGCAUGCCUCCACAUUUUUAGUUAGUAAGAGGGACAGAUGGAAAGGAUUGAAAGAAGGAAGUCAACAGGGAAGUAAUAUAACUUAUGAUGUCUCAAGCUUUUAAAAACAAAUUAUUUUUAAUGUUUCAUACAAUAUAUUUUCAUACAACCACCACUUCCUCACUCCUUCAUGUCCUUCCAUGUCCACACCCAGACAUCCACAUGUUCUUCUUAAAUUCCUGUCCUCUUUCACUACAUUUAAUGAUUCUAAUUAGUUCAAUGCAUAUAUACUUGAGUAUAUGCCUUACCACCUUGGUAUACACGACUUGAAAAAUGGGUUUUCUCUGAAUAAUCUGAUUCUACCUCAUUCAACAAUAUGAGACAACUUGUAUUUCUUUGCCUAAUAAUGGGAAUUUCCUCUGUGUAUAGUGGAAUGUUGACUUAUGUGGACUUGUACAGAUCCUUUUCAGAAAACCAUAUGGUUGAACAUACAUGGUAGCACACAUAUCUAUCAUUUUUAUUAGAAAUUAUUUGGUAGAAGUACUCUUAAUCAUCUUGCUAUUAAAAAAAUUAAGUCCACUUCUCUAAAAUAUUCUCUGAGCCAUCAUUAUGACAAUUUUGUUAGAGAUAUCACUAUUUGGAAAUAGACAUCCCAUGGUCACUUUUGACCAGUUGUAGUUUUCUUUAGUGGCUUUCAUCUUCUACCAAAGAAGCUUAUUUAAUGAAGGGUGUAAACUACAUUUAUCUAUAUGUUUAAGGAUAACUGUGUAGAAGACAGAUGGAUGCUGUAUCUGUUUACCGAGUGUGUUUUCAAGCACUUUUUUAAAAUAACUGUUUAAGUUGAUAAAGUCAAAGUGUGUUUCUCUUCUAGAUGGUCCCCAAAAAAGGGAAAGAGAGAAGAAAUUUAACCACGCUUCAGGUUGAAGGGUAAAACAUUGGCAACCCUAUAUUUUUUGAUUUGGGCAAGCAUAUUGAAUGGAGCCAAAGUCAUGAUGUCUUAUAUCUGUGCAACAUUAGCCCUAUCAAGAAGAAAAUUAUUAGUGAAAAAUAACUUCCUUAACAGUAUUUCUUUUGUCAGCAGGAUGAGAUUUCAUAGUUUGUUGAAGAAACAUAAUAAUUAUUUAGUUGCUCAUUUUUGAGGGUUUAAUAAAGUAGACUGCAGGUGACCAAAAUUAAUUAUUUUCACAUACUGUAAAGGCUUGUUGGGGAUCUGAUCCUCAGUGGUCUCUUGAGCUUCAAAAUAACCUUUGGCUUCUCUCUUUCUUUGCCAGUUAUUUGAUAUCCUGAUGAUAAACCAAAUGGUGGGCUACACCAUUUCCCUUAGAAAAAACGAGGAAUUUUUGCUGCUUUGCCAAAAUUCUACUUUGUAAAAUGUACAGUGGUGCAAGUCAAGCUAGUGGAAUCUUCAGCUCCUACUUGAAGAAAAGGACAUGUGACUUGCCAAAGCUACAGGACCAAUUAAGAGAUUAUGUGCUUGAGCUGUUCUCCAAGAUCACAAGGUCAUAUGUUGUUAGGACAAAAUUGUACAUCAGUAUCUGGGAGAAGCAUCUGGAUAUACAGAACAUCGUCUGCUAUUUGUUUCUCAUUUCUUCCUCCUUCCCUUGACAUGGACCAUGAAGAAAGGGGACAUCUGAGACACUCAUGAAUAUUACCCACAGAAACUUGAUUUCUCUGUACCUUGUUCUGCUCUGACCAAUUUGACUCUAUAUGACAAUAUACUGUAACUUAAGUGAAAUCUCCUCCAUCAAGUCUAGUUUAUCCUAUUAUGUCUUUUCCUAACCCAAAAUAAAAAAGAAAGUCUC